rnacentral:rRNA from 1 species
GACGAACCGUGCGAACGUUGUUCGGAUUCACUGGGCUUAAAGGGCGCGUAGGCGGCUCGCCAAGUCGGGGGUGAAAUCUUUCGGCUCAACCGGAAAACAGCUUCCGAUACUGGCGGGCUCGAGUGGGGUAGGGGCGACUGGAACUUCCGGUGGAGCGGUGAAAUGCGCAGAUAUCAGGAGGAACACCAAUGGCGAAGGCAGCACUCUGGGACGGUACUGACGCUGAGACGCGAAAGCGUGGGGAGCAAACAGG